rnacentral:rRNA from 1 species
CUUGCUUCUUGGGUGGCGAGUGGCGAACGGGUGAGUAACAUAUCGGAACGUACCGAGUAAUGGGGGAUAACUAAUCGAAAGAUUAGCUAAUACCGCAUAUUCUCUGAGGAGGAAAGCAGGGGACCUUCGGGCCUUGCGUUAUUCGAGCGGCCGAUAUCUGAUUAGCUAGUUGGUGGGGUAAAGGCCUACCAAGGCGACGAUCAGUAGCGGGUCUGAGAGGAUGAUCCGCCACACUGGGACUGAGACACGGCCCAGACUCCUACGGGAGGCAGCAGUGGGGAAUUUUGGACAAUGGGCGCAAGCCUGAUCCAGCCAUGCCGCGUGUCUGAAGAAGGCCUUCGGGUUGUAAAGGACUUUUGUCAGGGAAGAAAAGGACAGGGUUAAUACCUCUGUUUGAUGACGGUACCUGAAGAAUAAGCACCGGCUAACUACGUGCCAGCAGCCGCGGUAAUACGUAGGGUGCGAGCGUUAAUCGGAAUUACUGGGCGUAAAGCGAGCGCAGACGGUUACUUAAGCAGGAUGUGAAAUCCCCGGGCUCAACCUGGGAACUGCGUUCUGAACUGGGUGACUAGAGUGUGUCAGAGGGAGGUAGAAUUCCACGUGUAGCAGU